rnacentral:misc_RNA from 1 species
UACGGAGGGUGCAAGCGUUGCUCGGAAUCACUGGGCGUAAAGCGUACGCAGGCGGCUCGUCAAGUCGGGUGUGAAAGCCCGGGGCUCAACCCCGGAACUGCAUUCGAAACUGGCGGGCUUGAGUACGGGAGAGGGAAGCGGAAUUCCUGGUGUAGAGGUGAGAUUCGUAGAUAUCAGGAGGAACAUCAGCGGCGAAAGCGGCUUCCUGGCCCGAUACUGACGCUCAUGUACGAAAGCGUGGGGAGCAAACAGG